UAGGGAAUCUUCGGCAAUGGGGGCAACCCUGACCGAGCAACGCCGCGUGAGUGAAGAAGGUUUUCGGAUCGUAAAGCUCUGUUGUAAGAGAAGAACGUGUGUGAGAGUGGAAAGUUCACACAGUGACGGUAACUUACCAGAAAGGGACGGCUAACUACGUGCCAGCAGCCGCGGUAAUACGUAGGUCCCGAGCGUUGUCCGGAUUUAUUGGGCGUAAAGCGAGCGCAGGCGGUUUAAUAAGUCUGAAGUUAAAGGCAGUGGCUCAACCAUUGUUCGCUUUGGAAACUGUUAAACUUGAGUGCAGAAGGGGAGAGUGGAAUUCCAUGUGUAGCGGUGAAAUGCGUAGAUAUAUGGAGGAACACCGGUGGCGAAAGCGGCUCUCUGGUCUGUAACUGACGCUGAGGCUCGAAAGCGUGGGGAGCAAACAGG
rnacentral:rRNA from 1 species